CCUACGGGUGGCAGCAGUGAGGAAUAUUGGUCAAUGGGCGGGAGCCUGAACCAGCCAAGUCGCGUGAAGGAAGAAGGUACUUAGGAUUGUAACCUUCUUUUGUCGGGGCACAACAGCGGAGACGCGUCGACGAAUGAGUGUACCCUAAGAACAAGCAUCGAUUACCUCCGUGCCAGCAGCCGCGGUAAUACGGGGGAUGCGAUCGUUAUCGGGAUUUAUUGGGUUUAAAGGGUGCUCAGGCGGGAUAUCAAGUCAGUGGGAAAAUGUCGGGGCCAAACCCCAGCCGGCCGUUGAAACUGGUGUUCUAGAGUGGUAGAGAAGGAUGCGGAAUUCGUGGUGUAGCGGUGAAAUGCAUAGAUAUAACGAAGAACACCGAUGGCGAAGGCAGCAUACCGGCCACAUACUGACGCUGAGGCACGAAAGCGUGGGGAGCGAACAGGAUUAGAUACCCGAGUAGUC
rnacentral:rRNA from 1 species